CAGACCACGGGCCUGAGCAUCAGGACUCCAGAAGACCUUUCCAGAUUCGUGGUUGAGCUGCAGCAGAGGGAGCUUGCCUUGAAGGACAAGAACAGCGCUGUCACCAGCAGCCCGGCUCUUCUCUGGUUUCACUCGUGGCUGUGAGGGGCCGUCCACGCUCCGGCAUCACACCCAGAGGCGGAAAGGAGAGGCCUCUUUUUUUGAUCUUUUCUGUACAAGGAAGCCUUUCCUAGGACCCCCACUGCCAGCAAGGACCCCUUAUGCCUCCUUGGCUAAAAAGGGGUCUUAUGCCUGCCCCUGACCAGAAGAUGGAGCUACCAUGAGGGACUGAACCCCGUCCGGUGGAACCUGUGGGGCUGGUGGGCAGUGGG
rnacentral:sRNA from 1 species